GACGAACGCUGGCGGCGUGCUUAACACAUGCAAGUCGAACGGAAAGGCCCUGCUUUUGUGGGGUGCUCGAGUGGCGAACGGGUGAGUAACACGUGAGUAACCUGCCCUUGACUUUGGGAUAACUUCAGGAAACUGGGGCUAAUACCGGAUAGGAGCUCCUGCUGCAUGGUGGGGGUUGGAAAGUUUCGGCGGUUGGGGAUGGACUCGCGGCUUAUCAGCUUGUUGGUGGGGUAGUGGCUUACCAAGGCUUUGACGGGUAGCCGGCCUGAGAGGGUGACCGGCCACAUUGGGACUGAGAUACGGCCCAGACUCCUACGGGAGGCAGCAGUGGGGAAUAUUGCACAAUGGGCGGAAGCCUGAUGCAGCAACGCCGCGUGCGGGAUGACGGCCUUCGGGUUGUAAACCGCUUUCGCCUGUGACGAAGAGUGAGUGACGGUAAUGGGUAAAGAAGCACCGGCUAACUACGUGCCAGCAGCCGCGGUGAUACGUAGGGUGCGAGCGUUGUCCGGAUUUAUUGGGCGUAAAGGGCUCGUAGGUGGUUGAUCGCGUCGGAAGUGUAAUCUUGGGGCUUAACCCUGAGCGUGCUUUCGAUACGGGUUGACUUGAGGAAGGUAGGGGAGAAUGGAAUUCCUGGUGGAGCGGUGGAAUGCGCAGAUAUCAGGAGGAACACCAGUGGCGAAGGCGGUUCUCUGGGCCUUUCCUGACGCUGAGGAGCGAAAGCGUGGGGAGCGAACAGGCUUAGAUACCCUGGUAGUCCACGCUGUAAACGGUGGGUACUAGGUGUGGGGUCCAUUCCACGGGUUCCGUGCCGUAGCUAACGCUUUAAGUACCCCGCCUGGGGAGUACGGCCGCAAGGCUAAAACUCAAAGGAAUUGACGGGGCCCCGCACAAGCGGCGGAGCAUGCGGAUUAAUUCGAUGCAACGCGUAGAACCUUACCUGGGUUUGACAUGGAUCGGGAGUGCUCAGAGAUGGGUGUGCCUCUUUUGGGGUCGGUUCACAGGUGGUGCAUGGCUGUCGUCAGCUCGUGUCGUGAGAUGUUGGGUUAAGUCCCGCAACGAGCGCAACCCUUGUUCACUGUUGCCAGCACGUUAUGGUGGGGACUCAGUGGAGACCGCCGGGGUCAACUCGGAGGAAGGUGGGGAUGACGUCAAGUCAUCAUGCCCCUUAUGUCCAGGGCUUCACGCAUGCUACAAUGGCUGGUACAGAGAGUGGCGAGCCUGUGAGGGUGAGCGAAUCUCGGAAAGCCGGUCUCAGUUCGGAUUGGGGUCUGCAACUCGACCUCAUGAAGUCGGAGUCGCUAGUAAUCGCAGAUCAGCAACGCUGCGGUGAAUACGUUCCCGGG
rnacentral:rRNA from 1 species